rnacentral:rRNA from 1 species
UGGGGAAUAUUGCACAAUGGGCGAAAGCCUGAUGCAGCGACGCCGCGUGCGGGAUGAAGGCCUUCGGGUUGUAAACCGCUUUUAAUUGGGAGCAAGCGAGAGUGAGUGUACCUUUUGAAUAAGCACCGGCUAACUACGUGCCAGCAGCCGCGGUAAUACGUAGGGUGCAAGCGUUAUCCGGAAUUAUUGGGCGUAAAGAGCUCGUAGGCGGUUUGUCACGCCUGGUGUGAAAGUCCAUCGCUUAACGGUGGAUCUGCGCCGGGUACGGGCAGGCU